rnacentral:tRNA from 1 species
ACUCAAGAAAUGAAUCUUCAUAUAUGGUUUCGACCCAUAAUUAGGUAAUCGGUUACCCUUGUUUA